UGAUUCAACACAUGCAACAGUCUACGUUUAAGGGUGAAGUUUCGUCAUGCAACACGUGUGUUUUACUCUGAACAGAGCACUGCACUGGGUUGACUGCUAAAACUAACUUUAGCCGGGCUUGACAUUAGCACUUUAUGCUUUGAAAACGGGAUAACGGAAGCAAUUGGCGUUUACAUUGACAAACGUAGCUAAGGUUCAACUAAUUGUAACAGUCCUCCUAUUGCAGUCCUAUUUUUGUUGUUUGAAAUGUUCCUUUGUUAUAAUAGUUCAUUACAGUGGAGGUAUAACAUUACUCCAUGCAUAUCUGUUUGAUGUUUGCAUACUAUGGUAUUAUUAAUUGUUCAUUUGAAAACGUUUUUCUUUUCAUCAAGGAUGCAGGCUCUACGAGUGAAGUACAGAGAUCACCAGAAGUACAUUUGUUUUGAGGGGCAACUGACCUUCAAAUCCUUUUUGGAUUGCGUUGCCAAGAAAUUUGACAUUCCCACCUUGGACUUAAAGGUCUAUGAUGAAUCGCAGACUGAAGUUGACGAGGUGUUUGAGUUUCUUCUAAUGAAACAAGACCUUGGUGUGCUCGAUAUUUGUUUACCCCAAGGCCCAAAUCUUGAUGAUGAUCGAAGACGUUCUCAAGAACAAACCUGGAGGAGAGAGGAUCUUGAAUGAGUAUGCCUGGACAAAAAGCCUAACAGAUAGCAGAAGACGCGAUAUGGUCAAGAUAUUGGUUGCUCAUAUGACAAGUAUGUUAAAGAGGACUAUGCAAAGGGCAUCACUACCUUGUUUCCAUACCUGGCUGAUCCUAGGAGCAAGUUUGGCUAUGUAAG